rnacentral:rRNA from 1 species
UACGGAGGGUGCAAGCGUUAAUCGGAAUUACUGGGCGUAAAGCGCACGUAGGUGGUUUGUUAAGCCAGCUGUGAAAUCCCCGGGCUCAACCUGGGCACUGCAGUUGGAACUGGCAAGCUAGAGUAGGGUAGAGGGGUGUGGAAUUCCAGGUGUAGCGGUGAAAUGCGUAGAUAUCUGGAGGAACAUCAGUGGCGAAGGCGACACCCUGGACUCAUACUGACACUGAGGUGCGAAGCGUGGGGAGCAAACAGG